CGAUACAGGGUGACAGCCCCGUACACAAAAAUGCACAUAUUGUGAGCUCGAUGAGUAGGGCGGGACACGUGGUAUCCUGUCUGAAUAUGGGGGGACCAUCCUCCAAGGCUAAAUACUCCUGACUGACCGAUAGUGAACCAGUACCGUGAGGGAAAGGCGAAAAGAACCCCGGCGAGGGGAGUGAAAAAGAACCUGAAACCGUGUACGUACAAGCAGUGGGAGCCUCUUUAUGGGGUGACUGCGUACCUUUUGUAUAAUGGGUCAGCGACUUAUAUUCUGUAGCAAGGUUAACCGAAUAGGGGAGCCGAAGGGAAACCGAGUCUUAACUGGGCGUUAAGUUGCAGGGUAUAGACCCGAAACCCGGUGAUCUAGCCAUGGGCAGGUUGAAGGUUGGGUAACACUAACUGGAGGACCGAACCGACUAAUGUUGAAAAAUUAGCGGAUGACUUGUGGCUGGGGGUGAAAGGCCAAUCAAACCGGGAGAUAGCUGGUUCUCCCCGAAAGCUAUUUAGGUAGCGCCUCGUGAAUUCAUCUCCGGGGGUAGAGCACUGUUUCGGCAAGGGGGUCAUCCCGACUUACCAACCCGAUGCAAACUGCGAAUACCGGAGAAUGUUAUCACGGGAGACACACGGCGGGUGCUAACGUCCGUCGUGAAGAGGGAAACAACCCAGACCGCCAGCUAAGGUCCCAAAGUCAUGGUUAAGUGGGAAACGAUGUGGGAAGGCCCAGACAGCCAGGAUGUUGGCUUAGAAGCAGCCAUCAUUUAAAGAAAGCGUAAUAGCUCACUGGUCGAGUCGGCCUGCGCGGAAGAUGUAACGGGGCUAAACCAUGCACCGAAGCUGCGGCAGCGACACUAUGUGUUGUUGGGUAGGGGAGCGUUCUGUAAGCCUGUGAAGGUGGCCUGUGAGGGUUGCUGGAGGUAUCAGAAGUGCGAAUGCUGACAUAAGUAACGAUAAAGCGGGUGAAAAGCCCGCUCGCCGGAAGACCAAGGGUUCCUGUCCAACGUUAAUCGGGGCAGGGUGAGUCGACCCCUAAGGCGAGGCCGAAAGGCGUAGUCGAUGGGAAACAGGUUAAUAUUCCUGUACUUGGUGUUACUGCGAAGGGGGGACGGAGAAGGCUAUGUUGGCCGGGCGACGGUUGUCCCGGUUUAAGCGUGUAGGCUGGUUUUCCAGGCAAAUCCGGAAAACCAAGGCUGAGGCGUGAUGACGAGGCACUACGGUGCUGAAGCGACAAAUGCCCUGCUUCCAGGAAAAGCCUCUAAGCAUCAGGUAACAUCAAAUCGUACCCCAAACCGACACAGGUGGUCAGGUAGAGAAUACCAAGGCGCUUGAGAGAACUCGGGUGAAGGAACUAGGCAAAAUGGUGCCGUAACUUCGGGAGAAGGCACGCUGAUAUGUAGGUGAAGCGACUUGCUCGUGGAGCUGAAAUCAGUCGAAGAUACCAGCUGGCUGCAACUGUUUAUUAAAAACACAGCACUGUGCAAACACGAAAGUGGACGUAUACGGUGUGACGCCUGCCCGGUGCCGGAAGGUUAAUUGAUGGGGUUAGCGGUAACGCGAAGCUCUUGAUCGAAGCCCCGGUAAACGGCGGCCGUAACUAUAACGGUCCUAAGGUAGCGAAAUUCCUUGUCGGGUAAGUUCCGACCUGCACGAAUGGCGUAAUGAUGGCCAGGCUGUCUCCACCCGAGACUCAGUGAAAUUGAACUCGCUGUGAAGAUGCAGUGUACCCGCGGCAAGACGGAAAGACCCCGUGAACCUUUACUAUAGCUUGACACUGAACAUUGAGCCUUGAUGUGUAGGAUAGGUGGGAGGCUUUGAAGUGUGGACGCCAGUCUGCAUGGAGCCGACCUUGAAAUACCACCCUUUAAUGUUUGAUGUUCUAACGUUGGCCCGUAAUCCGGGUUGCGGACAGUGUCUGGUGGGUAGUUUGACUGGGGCGGUCUCCUCCUAAAGAGUAACGGAGGAGCACGAAGGUUGGCUAAUCCUGGUCGGACAUCAGGAGGUUAGUGCAAUGGCAUAAGCCAGCUUGACUGCGAGCGUGACGGCGCGAGCAGGUGCGAAAGCAGGUCAUAGUGAUCCGGUGGUUCUGAAUGGAAGGGCCAUCGCUCAACGGAUAAAAGGUACUCCGGGGAUAACAGGCUGAUACCGCCCAAGAGUUCAUAUCGACGGCGGUGUUUGGCACCUCGAUGUCGGCUCAUCACAUCCUGGGGCUGAAGUAGGUCCCAAGGGUAUGGCUGUUCGCCAUUUAAAGUGGUACGCGAGCUGGGUUUAGAACGUCGUGAGACAGUUCGGUCCCUAUCUGCCGUGGGCGCUGGAGAACUGAGGGGGGCUGCUCCUAGUACGAGAGGACCGGAGUGGACGCAUCACUGGUGUUCGGGUUGUCAUGCCAAUGGCACUGCCCGGUAGCUAAAUGCGGAAGAGAUAAGUGCUGAAAGCAUCUAAGCACGAAACUUGCCCCGAGAUGAGUUCUCCCUGAGACUUAGAGUCUCCUGAAGGAACGUUGAAGACGACGACGUUGAUAGGCCGGGUGUGUAAGCGCAGCGAUGCGUUGAGCUAACCGGUACUAAUGAACCGUGAGGCUUAACCU
rnacentral:rRNA from 1 species